rnacentral:lncRNA from 1 species
GUGGUUAUGGGCCCACAUAGAAAUUUAUGGUAAUUGUGAAGUGACUAUUACUUAUCAUCGUAACAUCCCAGUAUUUUCUUUACCUAGAACUUAAGGAACUGGACAAUUCAGCUAUUUAAGGGCACCUUAUCUCCCUUUUCAUCUUUAUACAUUCAGCAUGACAUGAUCCAAAUAAUUACCAGCUGCCCAGAAUAUGAUGGUUCCCAGCUCCCAAGAGUCACAUAGCUUCCUGAUCUCCUUUUUUGCUAAAAGCUGUUUGUCUUGAAAGCUCUCUUUGGGGGGAUUCUGCCAGUAUUUCUAAAUUAAGUAUAUUCCUAAGAACUUUGAUGUCAGGGAGAAUUUUGGUAACAGGCGCAUAUUGAUUGCAACUCACCAUGGUUAACUUCAACGAUUAGCAUUAGUUAGUUGUUAACUUCAACAUAAGCAGCAAUGUAGCACAACUCCAAGGUCUAGGUCAGUGGCAUCUGGGCAGAACACUAAAGACUACCGCAG